rnacentral:rRNA from 1 species
AAACUCAAAUGAAUUGACGGGACCCGCACAAGCGGUGGAUGAUGUGGUUUAAUUCGAUGCAACGCGAAAAACCUUACCCACCUUUGACAUGUACGGAAUCCUUUAGAGAUAGAGGAGUGCUCGAAAGAGAACCUGCACACAGGUGCUGCAUGGCUGUCGUCAGCUCGUGUCGUGAGAUGUUGGGUUAAGUCCCGCAACGAGCGCAACCCUUGCCAUUAGUUGCUACGAAAGGGCACUCUAAUGGGACUGCCGGUGACAAACCGGAGGAAGGUGGGGAUGACGUCAAGUCCUCAUGGCCCUUAUAGGUGGGGCUACACACGUCAUACAAUGGCCGGUACAGAGGGUAGCCAACCCGCGAGGGGGAGCCAAUCCCACAAAGCCGGUCGUAGUCCGGAUCGCAGUCUGCAACUCGACUGCGUGAAGUCGGAAUCGCUAGUAAUCGCGGAUCAGCAUGUCGCGGUGAAUACGUUCCCGGGUCUU